rnacentral:rRNA from 1 species
CGCACGGGUGCGUAACGCGUAUGCAAUCUACCUUUUACAGAGGGAUAGCCCAGAGAAAUUUGGAUUAAUACCUCAUAGCAUAGCAGCUUCGCAUGAAGCCACUAUUAAAGUCACAACGGUAAAAGAUGAGCAUGCGUCCCAUUAGCUAGUUGGUAAGGUAACGGCUUACCAAGGCUACGAUGGGUAGGGGUCCUGAGAGGGAGAUCCCCCACACUGGUACUGAGACACGGACCAGACUCCUACGGGAGGCAGCAGUGAGGAAUAUUGGACAAUGGGCGCAAGCCUGAUCCAGCCAUGCCGCGUGCAGGAUGACGGUCCUAUGGAUUGUAAACUGCUUUUAUACAGGAAGAAACACUCCGACGUGUCGGAGCUUGACGGUACUGUAAGAAUAAGGAUCGGCUAACUCCGUGCCAGCAGCCGCGGUAAUACGGAGGAUCCAAGCGUUAUCCGGGAUCAUUGGGUUUAAAGGGUCCGUAGGCGGUUUAAUAAGUCAGUGGUGAAAGCCCAUCGCUCAACGGUGGAACGGCCAUUGAUACUGUUAGACUUGAAUUAUUAGGAAGUAACUAGAAUAUGUAGUGUAGCGGUGAAAUGCUUAGAGAUUACAUGGAAUACCAAUUGCGAAGGCAGGUUACUACUAAUGGAUUGACGCUGAUGGACGAAAGCGUGGGUAGCGAACAGGAUUAGAUACCCUGGUAGUCCACGCCGUAAACGAUGGAUACUAGCUGUUGGAAGCAAUUUCAGUGGCUAAGCGAAAGUGAUAAGUAUCCCACCUGGGGAGUACGUU